UACGAAGGGGGCUAGCGUUGCUCGGAAUCACUGGGCGUAAAGGGUGCGUAGGCGGGUCUUUAAGUCAGGGGUGAAAUCCUGGAGCUCAACUCCAGAACUGCUUUUGAUACUGAAGAUCUUGAGUUCGGGAGAGGUGAGUGAAACUGCGAGUGUAGAGGUGAAAUUCGUAGAUAUUCGCAAGAACACCAGUGGCGAAGGCGGCUCACUGGCCCGAUACUGACGCUGAGGCACGAAAGCGUGGGGAGCAAACAGG
rnacentral:rRNA from 1 species